GCCCCGCGCCGCCCGGCACCCGCGCUCGCGCUCGGGCUCUACUGGAGUCUCUGAGUCGCUCAGCUCCCCGUGAUGCCCUUGGAGGGGCGCGGAAGACCUGGAAUCAGCCUCCCCAUUUCUCUGGUAGCUACGUCACUUCCUCUGCAACUGAGAGCACCUGUCAGGUACAAUCAGAGAGAGCUGGAAGAAAAUCUAUGAAGAAAGUAUAAGAAAUGAUAACAUCAUUGGGCAUCUCUACAUGACUUUUCAGGAACCCUAUGCUAAGCAUUGCUUUGUACUCUUGCAUCUUUUAUUUUUCCCUCUUAAGCCAUUGUUUUCUUUCUUCUCUUCAUCAUUUUUGUAAGUAGCCAAAACCCAGCCUUUUUCCGAUCUCAAGACUGACAUGGUGGAAAUUGUGUAGGGAGAGAGAACAGUAAGAAAAAAAGAAUUACUGUCCUCUGGUUUGAGAAGAACCUCCGUGUUUACAGGUCCUUCAAGGCGUAAAAUUAAAGUAAGAAAUAGAAAAUGUUUUUCCUCUUAAUAA